UGACCUCAGAUCAGGUAGGACUACCCGCUGAAAC
rnacentral:rRNA from 1 species